rnacentral:rRNA from 1 species
CCUUAUGCAUUAUCAAAAAGCGGAGGAAAAGAAACCAACAGGGAUUGCCUCAGUAACGGCGAGCGAAGCGGCAAAAGCUCAAAUUUGAAAUCUGGCGUCGUAUCGGCGUCCGAGUUGUAAUUUGAAGAUGGCAACUUUGGGAAUGGCUCUCGCAUAUGUUCCUUGGAACAGGACGUCAUAGAGGGUGAGAACCCCGUUCAUGGCGAGAUGACCCAGUCCUAUGUAAAGUGCUUUCUAAGAGUCGAGUUGUUUGGGAAUGCAGCUCUAAGUGGGUGGUAAAUUCCAUCUAAGGCUAAAUAUUGGCGAGAGACCGAUAGCGAACAAGUACAGUGAUGGAAAGAUGAAAAGAACUUUGAAAAGAGAGUGAAAAAGUACGUGAAAUUGUUGAAAGGGAAGGGCUUGAAGUCAGACAUGGUAUUCAGUGAUCAACUGUCUUUCGGGACUGUGCACUCGCUGUUUACUGGGCCAGCAUCGGUUUAGGCGGUGAGAUAAAUGCAAGAGAAUGUGGCUCCGCUUUCGGGUGGAGUGUUAUAGCUUUUGUUCAUAUCACCAGCUUGGACCGAGGACCGCGCUUCGGCUAGGAUGCUGGCGUAAUGACUUUAAGCCACCCGUCUUGAACAACGGACCCUACGCU